ACUAAACAGCUAGCUCAACCCAACACGACCAAGCCUACAACAUACACUAGUCUAAUAAAAA
rnacentral:rRNA from 1 species